UUGGGUGACCAGCGGAGGGAUCAUUACCGAGUUUACAACUCCCAAACCCAAUGUGAACGUUACCAAACUGUUGCCUCGGCGGGAUCUCUGCCCCGGGUGCGUCGCAGCCCCGGACCAAGGCGCCCGCCGGAGGACCAACCAAAACUCUUAUUGUAUACCCCCUCGCGGGUUUUUUUUAUAAUCUGAGCCUUCUCGGCGCCUCUCGUAGGCGUUUCGAAAAUGAAUCAAAACUUUCAACAACGGAUCUCUUGGUUCUGGCAUCGAUGAAGAACGCAGCGAAAUGCGAUAAGUAAUGUGAAUUGCAGAAUUCAGUGAAUCAUCGAAUCUUUGAACGCACAUUGCGCCCGCCAGUAUUCUGGCGGGCAUGCCUGUCCGAGCGUCAUUUCAACCCUCGAACCCCUCCGGGGGGUCGGCGUUGGGGAUCGGCCCUGCCUUGGCGGUGGCCGUCUCCGAAAUACAGUGGCGGUCUCGCCGCAGCCUCUCCUGCGCAGUAGUUUGCACACUCGCAUCGGGAGCGCGGCGCGUCCACAGCCGUUAAACACCCAACUUCUGAAAUGUUGACCUCGGAUCAGGUAGGAAUACCCGCUGAACUUAAGCAUAUCAA
rnacentral:rRNA from 1 species